rnacentral:misc_RNA from 1 species
UAGCUGCGUUAACUGGUGUGAAUUGCAGGACACGCCGAGCACUAAGUUUUCGAACGCAUAUUGCGGCUACGGGCCUUCCCGUAGCCUCGUCUGUCUGAGGGUCGGUUAAUAACGACUCAUCGUAAGAGUCCGCUCGAGACAUGGCCUUUCGUUGCUAGUUUCGUCGGACUUUGGUCGACGCGGUGUUUAGCUGAGAACUGCAGCGGCAUCGGUCCGGCGCUACGUGUCGGACUGCAAUACCGUCUAUGUCGGUUCGUAGGCCAUUCAUUGCGUGCAUUGUUGUUGCAUAGAAUUGCAUUGUUGCGUUGCUUCGGCAACAAUACAUGCAUUUCCAACUUGUCGACCUCAGAUCAGGCGAGAUUACCCGCUGAAUUUAA